UUUGUUAUAUGAGCUCCUCUAUAAUCUUUGGCACAGACUGCCACUCAUCGGUCUGAAGGGAGUCUGAAGAAAGGUCUUCGACCCGAAACGUUGCCCAUUCCUUCUCUCCACACAUGCUGCCCAAAGAUGUUAUAUUAAGAUCUUUGAUGCUGCCUGUCCCGCUGAAUUACUCCGGCAUUUUGUGUCGACAUUAGGCUGCAGUUGGGACCCAGUUGAGGGGAAUGGAUGGAUGGAGCCGGGAGAGCUCAUCUCUCCAAAGACCUGCUUCUGCUGUAGGAUGGGAAGCAGCAAAUAAUUGAACAUUGGAAGAAACACCGUUUUAAACAAGAAGCCGCUCACCGUCGCUGGCCUUCGCCGAGCCCGACCGCCCCGUUAACCGCGCGCGCGCGCGACCGUUGGGCCUUUGAACGGGUGGCGGGAACGUGCGCGGUAAAAUAAAAACACAAGGAGGAAGGUUUGCGGUCGACACUCGCUUGUAAAUGUGGCGAUUGGUAAAUUUGCCGGUCGAGGACGAGAGAGAAGAAAAAUAGGACAGCAGAAGGUCAUGGAAUCUCAGAAUUGUGGAAUUGCCUGAAGAUAUUGUGGAAAGUUACCAAAAUUUCAACUUUUUCACAAACUGCCAAACAUCAUUAUUUUCACUUUGAAGAAUACAGGCGAGGAAAGGAUAAAUGAUCCUCUCAAGCUCUGUCAGGUUGGACGUGUAUCAUUGAUGCGCAGCUAUUGGGUCCCUCCAGAGAUGUUCGAUCGGGUUCAAGUCCGGGCUCUGGCUGGGCCACUCAAGGACAUUCACAGACUUGUCACAAAGCCACCAGCGUUGUCUUGACUGUGCUUAGGGUCGUUGUCCUGUUGGAAGGUGAACCUCCGCCCCAGUCUGAGGUCCAGAACGCUCUGGAGCAGGUUUUCAUCAAGGAUCUCUCUGUACUUUGCUCCGUUCGUCUUUCCCUCGAUCCUGACUAGUCACCCAGUUUCUGCCGCUGAAAAACAUCCCCACAGCAUGAUGCUGCAACCACCAUGCUUCACGGUAGGAAUGGUAUUGGCCAGGUGAUGAGCAGUGCCUGGUUUCCUCCAGAUGUGUCGCUUGGCACUCAGGGCAAAGAGUUCAACCUUGAUUUCAUCAGGCCAGAGAAUCUUGUUUCUCAUGCCUUUUGGCAAACUACUAAGCAGGCUGUCACGUGCCUUUUACUGAGGAGUGGCUUCCAUCUGGCCACUCUACCAUAAAGGCCUAAUUGGUGGAGUGCUGCAGAUAUAGUUGUUCUUCAGGAAGGUUCUCCCAUCUCCACAGGGGAAUUCUGGAGCUCUGUCAGAGUGACAGUUCUUGGUCACCUCCCUGAUCAAGGCCCCCUCUCCCGAUUGCUCAGUUUGGCCGGGCGGCCAGCUCUAUGAAGUCCUGUGGUUCCAAUGUUCUUCCAUUUAAGAAUGGCAGAGGCUCUUCGGGACCUGCAAUGCUGCAGAAACUGCUUUAUAUCCUUCCCCAGAUCUGUAUCUCAACAUAAUCCUGUCUUGGAGGUCUGCAGACAAUUCCUUCGUUUUCACGGCUUGGUUUUUGCUCUGACAUGCACUUCUUCUUCUUCUUCGGAGUUUUACGGCAGCCGGCAUCCACAAUGUUGCAUUGCUGCCACCUUCUGGCUUCACUCCACAGUCCUCAUGUCUUUACUUUAUAUCCUUUUUAUAAGGCCAGAGGCCCUCAAGAAAUUAAACAACAAAUUUACUCCUUUUCCUUCCCCUCCAUACUCUAGAAUGUUCUUUUCUGAUAUAUCUGUCAUUCCAAUUUUCUUCAUUUCAUUGAUCAAAACUCUUCUUUCUGUUGCAUAUCUUCUACAUGCAACUAGAGCAUGCUGAACGGUUUCCGGCUGAUGGCAUUCCUCACACAUCCCAGUAGGGUGUUUUCCCAACAUUUUUAAUGUGCUGUUCAGGUGGGUGUGUCCUAUCCUCAAUCUUGCUAAUACUACCUGUUCUCUCCUGUUCCCCCCUCUUCUUGCUGUAAUGCCCACUCUGUUUUGUAGCGAAUAGAGGUGUCUCCCCUUUGUCUCCUCAAGUCAAGUCAAGUCAAGUUUAUUUGUCACAUACACAUACGAGAUGUGCAGCGAAAUGAAAGUGGCAAUGCUCGCGGACCUUUGUGCAAAAGACAAACAACAAAACAACCAAACAAAUUAUAAACACAAUCAUAACACACAUAUUCUUUUACAUAAUAAAUAAUAGAAGAUUCUGUUCCCAGUAUUAUUGCCAUUCCUGAUUUAUUUUCUUCCACACAAUGUGUCUUCCUUCAGAUUUGGAUAAUUGUAGGUUUACCUCUAUGUUCUCUUUUUUAACGGCCUCUUUUGCUAAUUUAUCCACUUUUUCAUUUCCUAGCACACCAAUGUGUGCUGGGACCCACAACAAAGUCACGUCACUGCCCUUCCUUGUUACUUGGCUUAAUAGUAGUAGAAUUUCAUACACUAGGUCAGGCCGCCUAUGGGACGCACCAGACCCAAUACUCUGGAUUGCAGACAAUGAGUCGCUACAAAUUAAUAUUUUGCAUGGUUGCACCUGUUCUAUCCACCGAACUGCCAUCAAAAUAGCGUACAGUUCCACUGUAUAUACUGCCAAAUAGUUAUUUGUUCUUUUGCAAAUCUCAACAUUCAACCCUUGCACUACCACAGCUGCCCCUGUUGUUUCAGCUACUGGGUCCUUUGAUCCAUCCAAGAUUAAGAGGUGUUCCCUGUAUCUAUUAUAUAUAUGGUUAUGGUAUUCUGUUUUUAGGUCCGAAUUUUUCUCCCUCCUUUUUGCCUCCCAUAUCCCAUAUCUCCAGAUCAACUUUUGGGAUGUUCAGUAACCAUAUUGGGACAGGUGGCCACAAUACUGCAGGGCAGAACUCUUUGUCCUCUACUUCCAUGUCCCUUGCCACACCUCCUCCAACCCAGCCGAAGCUUCCAGACUGAGCCACCCCUCUCUCCCAGCACUCCUGUACUACCUGUUUUGUUGGGUGGUUCUCUCCAUGACCCUUAAGGCUUAGCCAGUAAUUAGCCAUUAGUUGUCUGCGGCGCAGUCUCAACGGCAUCUCCCCAGUUUCCACCUGUAGUGCACAUACAGGUGACGUCCGCACACCUCCUAUACAGAUUCUUAGAGCUUCCGCUUGGACUUUGUCCAACUCGGACAACACUGACUUAGAUGCUGAUCCAUAAGCUAUACUGCCAUACUCUAGUCUGGAUCUGAUCAGUGAUACAUAGAUGUGUUUAAGCGAUAAUAUAUCUGCUCCCCACUCUAAACCUGUCAAGCAUCUCAUUACAUUGAUGGCUUUUUUGCAUUUUCCAAUUAUUUUUGUAAUGUGGACCCUCCAUGUUAAUCUGGAGUCAAAGUGGACUCCCAGGAAACAGAAAUCUUUUACUCUUUCUAAAUUGUUGCCGUAUAGUUUUAACUGGACAUCCUCUUUAAUUUUCUUCCUUGUGAAAACCAUUGUCUUUGUCUUCUCUAUAGAGAAUUUAAAACCCCAUUUCACUCCCCACUCUUCCACCUGGGCUAUCCCUUGCUGUACUUUUUCCACGAUAAAAUCUAUAUUCCUCCCCCUUCUCCAUAGGCUGCCAUCAUCUGCAAAGAGCGUCUGACAUGCACUGUCUACUGUGGGACCUUAUAUAGACAGGUGUGUGCCUUUCCAAAUUAUGCCCAAUCAAUUUAAUUUACCACAGGUGCACUCCAAUCAAGUUGUAGAAACAUCCCAAGGAUAAUUAAUGGAAACAGGAUGAACCUAAGCUCAAUUUUGAGUGUCAUAGCAAAGGGUCUGAAUACAAUACAAUACAAUACAAUUUAUUUGCAGCCUUAUUCUAAGGCUUAUGUAAAUGUGAUAUUUCAGUAUUUAUUUUUAAUUUGCAAAAAUUUCUAAUCACCUGUUUUCACUUCUUCAUUCUGGGGUAUUGUGUGCAGAUUGAUGAUUAAAAAUAUGAAUUCAAUCCAUUUUAAAAUAAAGCUGUAACAAUAAAAUAUGG